rnacentral:rRNA from 1 species
CAGUAACGGCGAGUGAAGCGGCAAAGAGCUCAAAUUUGAAAUCUGGCCCCUCCGGGGUCCGAGUUGUAAUUUGUAGAGGAUGCUUCGGGUGCGGCCCCCGUCUAAGUGCCCUGGAACGGGCCGUCAUAGAGGGUGAGAAUCCCGUCUGGGAUGGGGUGUCCGCGCCCGUGUGAAGCUCCUUCGACGAGUCGAGUUGUUUGGGAAUGCAGCUCUAAAUGGGUGGUAAAUUUCAUCUAAAGCUAAAUACUGGCCGGAGACCGAUAGCGCACAAGUAGAGUGAUCGAAAGAUGAAAAGCACUUUGAAAAGAGAGUUAAAAAGCACGUGAAAUUGUUGAAAGGGAAGCGCUUGCGACCAGACUCGCCCGCGGGGUUCAGCCGGCUUUCGUGCCGGUGUACUUCCCCGCGGGCGGGCCAGCGUCGGUUUGGGCGGCCGGUCAAAGGCCCCCGGAAUGUAACACCCUUCCGGGUGCC